UAGGGAAUAUUGGACAAUGGGGGCAACCCUGAUCCAGCAAUGCCGCGUGAGUGAUGAAGGCCUUAGGGUUGUAAAGCUCUUUUACCCGAGAUGAUAAUGACAGUAUCGGGAGAAUAAGCUCCGGCUAACUCCGUGCCAGCAGCCGCGGUAAUACGGAGGGAGCUAGCGUUGUUCGGAAUUACUGGGCGUAAAGCGCACGUAGGCGGCGAUUUAAGUCAGAGGUGAAAGCCCGGGGCUCAACCCCGGAACUGCCUUUGAGACUGGAUUGCUUGAAUCCUGGAGAGGUGAGUGGAAUUCCGAGUGUAGAGGUGAAAUUCGUAGAUAUUCGGAAGAACACCAGUGGCGAAGGCGGCUCACUGGACAGGUAUUGACGCUGAGGUGCGAAAGCGUGGGGAGCAAACA
rnacentral:rRNA from 1 species